UACGAAGGGGGCUAGCGUUGCUCGGAAUCACUGGGCGUAAAGGGCGCGUAGGCGGCCAUUCAAGUCAGAGGUGAAAGCCCAAGGCUCAACCUUGGAACUGCCUUUGAUACUGUUUGGCUUGAGACCGGUAGAGGUAAGUGGAACUGCGAGUGUAGAGGUGAAAUUCGUAGAUAUUCGCAAGAACACCAGUGGCGAAGGCGGCUUGCUGGACCGGUUCUGACGCUGAGGCGCGAAAGCGUGGGGAGCAAACAGG
rnacentral:rRNA from 1 species